ensembl:lncRNA
UGCUGCUGUGGUUGGCGUCUGGCGCUCUUGAUGUCGUACAGUGUCUCCACUGCGAGCGGGCGUACAGCCGCCUCACCCUUCUGGGAGAUGCUGGCGCUGUUGGCCCAGCAGCCGGGCGUGGAGUGGCUGAAGCUGAGCCUCGCCGGGCAGGCGGCUGUUGCAUCGCCGUGCAGCCGAGGAAGGGGGCAGACGGCGGCGUGCAGGACUCGGGCGGCGGCGGGGCGGCGCAGAGGCUCCGGAGGGUGCGAUGCAGCAGCGGGUAGGAGGGGAGGAUGGUUCUCCUCAGAAACACUCACUGGGACCUCAGCCUCUGAAGACGUUGCUGUUGUUGGAGUGCUCGGGGGAUACUAGGCUUUGGCAAGCCUACCUGGAGGGGCUGAAGAAGUUCCUUGCCUUUAGGAAGGACAUGGGGAUGCCUGCAGCCUGGCCCAUUCCAGAGGAUCAAGUUAGAGGAUUUUUAGCUGUGGAGUCUCUUUACUCGUGCUCAAAAACAUUGACGUAUGUGGCAGCGUUGUCUUACUUAUCAAGACUGUCUGGUAACCCUGACCCUCUGGAAGAUGCUAUAACCCGUUGUAUGGUAAUGGGGUUGAGACGUCAAGUGGGCAUCCUGAGGGAAAAAUACGCUCCUAUAACAAUUGAGGUGCUACGAUCUCUCUUAGGAGCACUGGAAUCUGUGUGUGUAUCCCAUUAUGAAUGCUUACUGUUCCGUGCAUUGUUCACCGUGGCUCUUUUUGGGGCACUUCGAAUAGGAGAGAUGGUGGCAAAGCACCGUAAUGUACUGCAGCCUGAACUGCUGUACUUGAGGGAUGUGCGGGUGACAGAAAGCAGGGUGGCGUUUCACCUGCAUAACUGUCCUGUCGGCCAGGAGAGACCCAUCAUCAGCCUUGCUCUGUCAGGAGAGCCGUGGGUGUGCCCUGUCCUGGCCCUCCGGAGCUAUGUGGCUGUGCGUUCAAGACUGGAAGGGCCGCUCUUCGUGCACGGGGACGAUGUGCCUGUAACAAAGAGGGGGUUUCUGACUGUUCUCAGAUGGGCCCUUAGGCUGCUGGGGCUGCCCCCGGAGCAUUACGGCGUGCACUCCUUCUGGCUGGGGACUAUCAUCACUGCUGCACGCUGUGGAUAUCCCAGGGAAGAUAUCACUCGCCUGGCGAGGUGGCCAUGUGUGUUCCCAGAGAAGUCAUAGCUAUGGAGACAGUGGGCAAAAGAAGCUAGUGGUUUCUUUCUGUAGUUUUAACAACACACACAGUUUAUAGUCCUUGGCAGUAAUUUAACAUUACCAUCUGUAAUGAAUGUUCUACCUCACUGUGGAUAUAAUCUAUGAAGUUCACUUGCAUUUGUUUUCACCCUCUGUACUGUUGAGGGUGGGGGACUGUCAAACUUGCUGUGCCCGCAGAUGCUUUUAUCUUGUAUGACUUCAGUUAAUAAAUGCUUCCUUUUUCAAAAAGC